rnacentral:lncRNA from 1 species
GUUUAUACUCCUAUUUACAUAUGUGGUAUUAUAUCUUAUUUAAUAUUGAAAAUAUUAAAUAAAAUCAGUAAAAAGUAGACUUAUUCAAGUGAUAAGUGUAUAAUUUCAUAAUAGAAAGAAGGAGAUAGAAACCAGAAUUGUUCAUUUUCCCAUCUUGGAUCAUCGAUCUGGCUACCAAUCUGACCAGCUGCCGAUUCUCUACCUCUUCGUCUUAUAAUCGGACAGUUUAAAAAUGGCAUUAAAACCCUCUCCGAUCAACACACUCCAGCUGUUCCUCUCAAAUAGACGAGUAGAAUGCAAUUAGACUUACAUUUAGUCAAUGGAAAGUUAUAGUUUGAAGAAUUUAAAAUGGAUAAUUUAGAAUCUUUAAAUCACGAUACAAAACGAAAAGCAAGGGAAUUUCUCGUAAACAACCGUAUCAAUAUCAAGUCUAAGAACUUUGUAAAUUGAUAUAGAUACUUUUUGAUAGAUCUGUAGAAUACGGAAGAUCCAUUAAAGAAAAAAAUAUAUAUAUACCUUAAU